rnacentral:rRNA from 1 species
CCUACGGGAGACAGCAGUGGGGAAUAUUGGGCAAUGGGCGCAAGCCUGACCCAGCAACGCCGCGUGAAGGAAGAAGGCUUUCGGGUUGUAAACUUCUUUUAAGGGGGAAGAGCAGAAGACGGUACCCCUUGAAUAAGCCACGGCUAACUACGUGCCAGCAGCCGCGGUAAUACGUAGGGGGCAAGCGUUGUCCGGAUUUACUGGGUGUAAAGGGCGUGCAGCCGGAGAGACAAGUCAGAUGUGAAAUCCACGGGCUCAACCCGUGAACUGCAUUUGAAACUGUUUCCCUUGAGUGUCGGAGAGGUAAUCGGAAUUCCUUGUGUAGCGGUGAAAUGCGUAGAUAUAAGGAAGAACACCAGUGGCGAAGGCGGAUUACUGGACGAUAACUGACGGUGAGGCGCGAAAGCGUGGGGAGCAAACAGGAUUAGAUACCCCAGUAGUC